rnacentral:rRNA from 1 species
GCGCAGCGAGAGGUGCUUGCACCUUUCAAGCGAGUGGCGAACGGGUGAGUAACACGUGGAUAACCUGCCUCAAGGCUGGGGAUAACAUUUGGAAACAGAUGCUAAUACCGAAUAAAACUUAGUAUCGCAUGAUAUCAAGUUAAAAGGCGCUACGGCGUCACCUAGAGAUGGAUCCGCGGUGCAUUAGUUAGUUGGUGGGGUAAAGGCUUACCAAGACAAUGAUGCAUAGCCGAGUUGAGAGACUGAUCGGCCACAUUGGGACUGAGACACGGCCCAAACUCCUACGGGAGGCUGCAGUAGGGAAUCUUCCACAAUGGGCGCAAGCCUGAUGGAGCAACGCCGCGUGUGUGAUGAAGGCUUUCGGGUCGUAAAGCACUGUUGUAUGGGAAGAAAUGCUAAAAUAGGGAAUGAUUUUAGUUUGACGGUACCAUACCAGAAAGGGACGGCUAAAUACGUGCCAGCAGCCGCGGUAAUACGUAUGUCCCGAGCGUUAUCCGGAUUUAUUGGGCGUAAAGCGAGCGCAGACGGUUGAUUAAGUCUGAUGUGAAAGCCCGGAGCUCAACUCCGGAAUGGCAUUGGAAACUGGUUAACUUGAGUGUUGUAGAGGUAAGUGGAACUCCAUGUGUAGCGGUGGAAUGCGUAGAUAUAUGGAAGAACACCAGUGGCGAAGGCGGCUUACUGGACAACAACUGACGUUGAGGCUCGAAAGUGUGGGUAGCAAACAGGAUUAGAUACCCUGGUAGUCCACACCGUAAACGAUGAAUACUAGGUGUUAGGAGGUUUCCGCCUCUUAGUGCCGAAGCUAACGCAUUAAGUAUUCCGCCUGGGGAGUACGACCGCAAGGUUGAAACUCAAAGGAAUUGACGGGGACCCGCACAAGCGGUGGAGCAUGUGGUUUAAUUCGAAGCAACGCGAAGAACCUUACCAGGUCUUGACAUCCUUUGAAGCUUUUAGAGAUAGAAGUGUUCUCUUCGGAGACAAAGUGACAGGUGGUGCAUGGUCGUCGUCAGCUCGUGUCGUGAGAUGUUGGGUUAAGUCCCGCAACGAGCGCAACCCUUAUUGUUAGUUGCCAGCAUUCAGUUGGGCACUCUAGCGAGACUGCCGGUGACAAACCGGAGGAAGGCGGGGACGACGUCAGAUCAUCAUGCCCCUUAUGACCUGGGCUACACACGUGCUACAAUGGCGUAUACAACGAGUUGCCAACCUGCGAAGGUGAGCUAAUCUCUUAAAGUACGUCUCAGUUCGGACUGCAGUCUGCAACUCGACUGCACGAAGUCGGAAUCGCUAGUAAUCGCGGAUCAGCACGCCGCGGUGAAUACGUUCCCGGGUCUUGUACACACCGCCCGUCACACCAUGGGAGUUUGUAAUGCCCAA